CGCGUAGGCGGACCUUCAAGUCGGGUGUGAGAACCGGCGGCUCAACUGCCGGCCUGCAUUCGAUACUGUUGGUCUUGAGUACAUGAGAGGAAAGCGGAAUUCCAGGUGUAGCGGUGAAAUGCGUAGAUAUCUGGAAGAACACCAGUAGCGAAGGCGGCUUUCUGGCGUGAUACUGACGCUGAAGCGCGAAGGCUAGGGGAGCAAACA
rnacentral:rRNA from 1 species